GGGCUUAUAGUUUAAUCGGUGAAAACCAACCGCUCAUAACGGUUCCAAUACAGGUUCGAGUCCUGUUAAGCCUA
rnacentral:tRNA from 1 species